rnacentral:lncRNA from 1 species
UUUCACCUUCAAAGAGAGCUGUACAUUUCUAGAUAUGUUAUUAAAGGAAGCACUGUGGGUUCCGUGGCUGGAACAGGGAACCGAUCAUUUAUCUGCUUUACCAUCAGGUUGUCAGUCUAGUCAUGCUGCUGGUAAAGAUUAGAUCUCUCACUCUGCCAAAAUGAAACAUAUUUUGCCUGCUUGCAUACGAUUCUGUUGCUUUGUCCACUGCAGCAUCCUCCGUGCAGCUCCCAUUAUUGUAGACAUUUUCUGUUUUUGCUCUAGGAUGUGGGGAGAAGGUGCCCCAUCAGAGAGCAUGACUUUUUCUAAUCCCAACCCACACACUGAUGUCAAAGUAUUUUCGUUCUUUCUCCCGAGCAUUGUGUUCUUCUACCAGCAGUCACUAAGCCAGGAAAACAGGAGGGUAUUUUGCAAUAACAUUUGGAAUAUACAUUUUUAUUUUUUUAGUUGGGAUUUCUGGUGUUUAUAUUUUGAAGGUCAGGUGUGAUGUCACUUUCUUAGUCCUUAAGCUGUCUACGUAUUGCUGAGUGAGUAACUCUGCCAAGUCAGUGCCUGCAGUGCUGUCCUUAAAAUCAGCACGAGGAUGACAAGAAGUUACUUGGGCUUUUACGUAUAUAAAUGUGCCUGGCCAGAUGCUGAAAAUUUGAUAAUAAUGAAUGAAAAUAGUAAAUAGAAUUUUUCAGUGAAUUUUAGUGAUUUAUUUGUAAACAUUCCCCUCUCCAGGUUUUUUUCCUUUCCUCCCCCUCCCUCUCCCUCUCCCUCCUUAGACCUUUCUUAUUUUCCCAUUUUAAGAUCUUCAUGACUCAAAAGGCUAUUUGAUUGGUGGGAAAUGAAGGUGGAAAGUUAUUGAUCAGGAGAUUUCUAAUGCUGUUUCCUACUCACAGUUAAACAAAUGCAAAUGUCAAGCCUUCAUUCAUCAUUUAAUGACUAUUUGUCUCUAGAGAGAGUACUAUUAUGGGCUAGAGGUUGAGAUUUUAAAAGGGGGGAGGAUACAAAAAUGACUGUUUCUUUUGGCAAACACAAUAAAUUGCUUUCUUUCUGCCAAGCAAUUAUCACUGUAUUUAAUCUUUGUAGGAAG